AGCAAAUAAACCAAGAGAAAAACAAUAUAGAAUAUAGGAGAUUUAAAAAAAUAUAUUUUAUUAUAUAAUGUAAAAUUUAUAACUUAACCUUUAAAAUAUAUUAAUAUAAUGUAAAAAUUACAUUUAACUUCUUAUAUAAUUUAAAAUCAUAUAUAGGUCUUUAUAAAAUCCCUAACUUUUAAGAGGGGCAAUUGACCUCCCUUGCCCCCGGCUAUGCCCUGCCAUAAUAGAUUAAUAGUUGAUGAUACCCCUGAUCCAUCAGACCAGACCUGCCCCAAGAGCAAGAUUAACAUGCACAAUUAGCCCAACAAGGCAGAUGGGCCCGAACUCGGACGGGUCGAGUUUAGCCUCAACGGGCCAGACCGGAACGGGUUGAGCAAAUUGAAAGUGGUCCAACAGAUAAAGGCUCAGUCCAGAAGGAAAGUGUAUAAAUACCCCUAGGGGUUUAGUGUAAAAAGGGGAGAGACUUUUGUAACAGAGAUUGUUUGGUAAACUAUUAAUACUAAACGAUCAGUGGUGAACCUGACGUGAAAUGGACUCAGUGCAGCCGGAACAAACCAUUCAGAUGGAAGAAAAUAUGGGAAUUACGGUGGUAACGGAUGCGAACCGGGAAAACCAGCCUUUACUGGUUAUUCACGAAAAACAGCCUCCGCCAGUCACCCAUGAAAAUCAUAAUUCGGAUAGAAUAAUCCAUGAAGAUGUCAGAGAGGAGCCUUGUCGUUCUUUUCAACAAACGAGGAGCAAUCUUCGGUCUGUUGACAGGAUUCUACAAGAGAGUGAUACACACUUUAGUUCAUCUGAACACAGUAGAUCACGGUCAAUCACGCUCGAGCGGCGUAGGGGCAGACAACCCAGAUACGGUGAACAAAAUUUACGAGAAGGAGAUAUCCGAAUCCUAUCAAUUAUAACGGGAUUAGAAAAUAGUCAAAGGCAAUUGCAAGAGAGGAUUUUAACAUUAAUGAUAGAUAUGAAUAAACGAAAUUCAGAAAGGAAUGAAAUGCUACCUGCACAGACACCCCGUGUACGUAUUGGGUACUUGGACCAACCCGUGCGGACGGGAAAUGAGGAGGCCCCGCGCAACAUCUAUUGUUAGAAGAAUACCCAGUGGGAUGGCGUGCCCCUAAAAUGAUAAUGUAUGAAGGAAGCAUCGAUCCAGAGGAUCACAUCCAUUCGUUCCGUACGGAAAUGGAGGACACGACGAGGCGAAAUGACAUAUGGUGUAGAAUGUUUAGAAGGUACUCUUAGAGGCGAGGUUGUCGGAUGGUAUAUGAAUCUCCCUGUUGGCAGUAUUAGUUCGUUCGAUGACCUUGAGAAAGCGUUCAAGAUUGCUUUCGGAUAUAAAAUAAGGCGGAAAGGAUUAAACACAACUUUGUUGAGUGUCAGACAAGGGGAUCAGGAAUCAACGCGAGAAUAUAUGGACCGGUUUGCAGUAGCGGUUCAAAGGGUUGUAUGUUCGGAAGAAGCAAUUUUGAUGGCACUAGUCAAUGGUUUGAGGCCGACCAGGUUUUCGGGAGAUCUCGUACGAGACCGACCAUUAAUUUUUGCGGAAACAAUGGAAAGGUCAUACAAGGAGUCAAAUGUAGAAGAUUACCAUGAGG
rnacentral:lncRNA from 1 species